rnacentral:rRNA from 1 species
UGCAAGUCGAGCGAACGGACGAGAAGCUUGCUUCUCUGAUGUUAGCGGCGGACGGGUGAGUAACACGUGGAUAACCUACCUAUAAGACUGGGAUAACUUCGGGAAACCGGAGCUAAUACCGGAUAAUAUUUUGAACCGCAUGGUUCAAAAGUGAAAGACGGUCUUGCUGUCACUUAUAGAUGGAUCCGCGCUGCAUUAGCUAGUUGGUAAGGUAACGGCUUACCAAGGCAACGAUGCAUAGCCGACCUGAGAGGGUGAUCGGCCACACUGGAACUGAGACACGGUCCAGACUCCUACGGGAGGCAGCAGUAGGGAAUCUUCCGCAAUGGGCGAAAGCCUGACGGAGCAACGCCGCGUGAGUGAUGAAGGUCUUCGGAUCGUAAAACUCUGUUAUUAGGGAAGAACAUAUGUGUAAGUAACUGUGCACAUCUUGACGGUACCUAAUCAGAAAGCCACGGCUAACUACGUGCCAGCAGCCGCGGUAAUACGUAGGUGGCAAGCGUUAUCCGGAAUUAUUGGGCGUAAAGCGCGCGUA